rnacentral:rRNA from 1 species
GACGAACGCUGGCGGCGUGCCUAAUACAUGCAAGUAGAACGCUGAGGACUGGUGCUUGCACCGGUCCAAGGAGUUGCGAACGGGUGAGUAACGCGUAGGUAACCUACCUCAUAGCGGGGGAUAACUAUUGGAAACGAUAGCUAAUACCGCAUAAAAGUGUUUAACCCAUGUUAAACAUUUAAAAGGUGCAACUGCAUCACUAUGAGAUGGACCUGCGUUGUAUUAGCUAGUUGGUGAGGUAACGGCUCACCAAGGCGACGAUACAUAGCCGACCUGAGAGGGUGAUCGGCCACACUGGGACUGAGACACGGCCCAGACUCCUACGGGAGGCAGCAGUAGGGAAUCUUCGGCAAUGGACGGAAGUCUGACCGAGCAACGCCGCGUGAGUGAAGAAGGUUUUCGGAUCGUAAAGCUCUGUUGUUAGAGAAGAAUGAUGGUGGGAGUGGAAAAUCCACCAUGUGACGGUAACUAACCAGAAAGGGACGGCUAACUACGUG